UGCUUUCACAUGCAAGUCGGACGGCAGCACAGAGAAGCUUGCUUCUUGGGUGGCGAGUGGCGAACGGGUGAGUAACAUAUCGGAACGUACCGAGUAGUGGGGGAUAACUAAUCGAAAGAUUAGCUAAUACCGCAUACGUCCUGAGAGAGAAAGCAGGGGAUCUUCGGACCUUGCGCUAUUCGAGCGGCCGAUAUCUGAUUAGCUAGUUGGUGGGGUAAAGGCCUACCAAGGCGACGAUCAGUAGCGGGUCUGAGAGGAUGAUCCGCCACACUGGGACUGAGACACGGCCCAGACUCCUACGGGAGGCAGCAGUGGGGAAUUUUGGACAAUGGGCGCAAGCCUGAUCCAGCCAUGCCGCGUGUCUGAAGAAGGCCUUCGGGUUGUAAAGGACUUUUGUCAGGGAAGAAAAGGUUGGUGCUAAUAUCGCUGACUGAUGACGGUACCUGAAGAAUAAGCACCGGCUAACUACGUGCCAGCAGCCGCGGUAAU
rnacentral:rRNA from 1 species